ACAGACAAAGGCACAGGGGUGGGAACGGCACGAUAAAUUUAGGAAACUAUAAAUAAUUCAGGGAGGGGUCUGCUGUGCAGUGGGCAGGGAGUGGCAUAGUGGGCGUGAGGCUGGUGAGAUGGGCUGGGAGGGUUCUGAGGGCUUUGGGCCUUACUCUACAGGCAGUGGGGAGCCACAGCGGAUUCUCGAGGCAGGGAGAGGCUCGCCCCCAGUGGCCUUCAGAAAGGGUCUCUGGCGACUGCUCGCCUGGGACAUUGGUGGGUGAUUCUGUGCCUUCACAGGCUCCAUCACCAGCUCAUUCCUCUUCAAGAAGCGUCCCCUCCUAGGCCAAUGCCAGGGGUCACUGCCUGUAAUCCACCUCAACCUGGCCACAUCCUGGAAGCCAGACCCAGAGUCACACUUUUCCCCUGGGUUUCUAGGCUUUUUUAUCCUCAGGUAGCUUUUGCCCCAACCCUACUCAUGUAAUGUUGAUGAUACAGCAAAGCACAGGUCAAGAAAACUCAGGCCAGGCCAUGAGAGGGCAUCGGCUCUCAUUACAGAAACCAAACGAGGCCCCAGAAAGCCAGGGAGCUCAUGCCGGCUGCAGUUCCAAGAUUCCCCAGAGGAACUAUCUAUGAAGAAUCACAUACCUUUGCACUUUUUAAAUGCUUUCAUCCAAAGGGCUUCAGGUCGUUUGAAAAUCUUGGGUUUGGUUCGGGGAACACUGGCUGCACACUUUCUUUCUAAGCCAAGGACCGAGCUGGGCACUGGGUAAUUCCCGCGAAUCGUCACGCACUCAGGAAAAUCCUGCAAGGCUGCCUGUGCCUCACUCAGAUGGGCAACAGAUAGGUCUCAAGGAAUGGACUUUUGCACCGCGUGGGCUGGCUUCAGGAAGCCUCAGGGGCAGGUGAAGUUCUCCAGGUCAGCAGCAGAAGACGUCACCACUUCUAGGCCUGAAGGGGCAAAGGGAGGGGCGUGUUCAAGGAAAUAGAGCACUCUAUCACCAUGGGAGGGACCGCCGGACAGGAGCGGCACCCCAAGAAGGAGAAGUUCGAGCCAGGAGCGACGCCUUCCUCACAGCCCUCCACAGGGACCAGCAGUGCUGACACCUUGCCUCGGGGCUCCUGGCUUCCAAAACUGCGGGAAAAUCAAUUCCUGUCGUUUGAGCCCCUGGGUCUGAGGUGCUUUGUGCGGCAGCCUCAGGAAACUGACACGAAGGAACUUGCCAGGAGCAGCACUGUCAGCGAAGGAAGGCUCAGCCUCCUGCAUCACUGGACCAGGUGGGGCGGAAAGGAGAGCAAAUCCAAAGACCACCCCCUACACCAAGCCCUGGACCUUUGGUAUCAGGAAACGUGGAGCGAAGAGAGUCAGCCAACCUGCAGGUAACUGCCCAGCCCCUGGGGAAGCGUCCAGACACAUCAGGGAGCAGGCAGCCUCGAGGAAAGCCCCUCAGGGAGGCCAGGGUGCACCCCUCAGAGACCCUGCGGCCCUGCUUGCUCACCUCUGACUUCACCCACCCUCUGCUCUGUGCUCUGCUCCCUCCUGAGCCUCUUAGGGACCCCAGACCCACAAGGGCCUCAGCUGGGGUUCCAGUCCUUCCAGUCUCUGCUGCUGUCGCUGGCUCUCUGGGGCCUGAGUGCCAUUUUAUACAGGGGUAGGUCCGUCCUCCAGCCCCUGGGGUCACGGCUGGUGGGGUCCUUGCCUGCUGUCCAACUGCCUUGGAAAGGGAACCUGAGAGGUGGCUCAAGCCCAGCCACCUUCCAUAGUGGGGACAGGGACACAGAAAACUCACCAUCAUUGGCACAGCAAAGUCCUGCGGUGACCCUGCUAAAGUGAGCAUGAAGGCCGAGCUAGAUACCAGAUACGGCUGGGUACAGUGUCAGGGAGUGUGAACGGAGCCGGAUACGGUGUCUGGGAGUGUGAACGGAGCCGGAUACGGUGUCAGGGAGUGUGAACGGAGCCGGAUACGGUGUCAGGGAGUGUGAAGGGAGCCGGAUACGGUGUCCGGGAGUGUGAACGGAGCCGGAUACGGUGUCCGGGAGUGUGAACGGAGCCGGAUACGGUGUCCGGGAGUGUGAACGGAGCCGGAUACGGUGUCAGGGAGUGUGAACAACACUGGACACACAGAUCAGCACGCAGGAUGGGUCAGCACAGCGGCUGUGUAAGGAGCUCCUUACCUCCAGCCUCGCUAUUCACACCGCCCUCUAGUACCCCCAGCCUCACCGUCCACACCUCCUUCUAGUAUGUGGCCUCGACUUCCUGUUAACAGGAGAAGCUCCGUCCAGCACCUAUGGUGCAGCUGGACCCCAACCAUCAUCCCCCAAUGUAGGGACACAGAGAAGGCUGCUGAAGCCACCAGAACUGGAGUUAAGCAGCCAAGUCAGCUCCUCUGAGACCUGCUCACCCAUGGUCGUAUGCACCAGAUAAAACCACACACUGGACCGGGAGAGGGCCAGGCGAGGACCAUGCGAGCCUGCUCUCUGCAGCGUUUUUCAGGGUGGCAAGAGUUGGAGAUGAGCUGGGAUCCUUUCCUGGGGUGCAAGGUGGUUCAGACCACAGGGUACCGUGUAGUCUCUGGAGGCAGGAGAGAUGUU
ensembl:lncRNA